CACCUCUUAAGGUUGCAUCUAGAGAGUUUCCAGUAUCUACCAGUCUCAACUACGGGAGGUAGAGUCAAGCAGACAUACCUAUUCCAUUCCUAGCGUGGGCAGUGGCUAGCGAGUGGAAGGCAAUCUGCUACAAGU